rnacentral:rRNA from 1 species
AGAGUUUGAUCAUGGCUCAGGAUGAACGCUAGCUACAGGCUUAACACAUGCAAGUCGAGGGGAAACGACAUCGAAAGCUUGCUUUUGAUGGGCGUCGACCGGCGCACGGGUGAGUAACGCGUAUCCAACCUGCCCACCACUUGGGGAUAACCUUGCGAAAGUAAGACUAAUACCCAAUGACGUCUCUAGAAGACAUCUGAAAGAGAUUAAAGAUUUAUACGGUGAUGGAUGGGGAUGCGUCUGAUUAGCUUGUUGGCGGGGUAACGGCCACCGAAGGCGACGAUCAGUAGGGGUUCUGGAGAGGAAGGUCCCCCACAUUCGGAACUGAGACACGGUCCAAACUCCUACGGGAGCA